GAUGAACGCUGGCGGCGUGCCUAAUACAUGCAAGUCGAGCGAACAGAUAAGGAGCUUGCUCCUUUGAAGUUAGCGGCGGACGGGUGAGUAACACGUGGGUAACCUACCUAUAAGACUGGGAUAACUUCGGGAAACCGGAGCUAAUACCGGAUAACAUUUAGAACCGCAUGGUUCUAAAGUGAAAGAUGGUUUUGCUAUCACUUAUAGAUGGACCCGCGCCGUAUUAACUAGUUGGUAAGGUAACGGCUUACCAAGGCAACGAUACGUAGCCGACCUGAGAGGGUGAUCGGCCACACUGGAACUGAGACACGGUCCAGACUCCUACGGGAGGCAGCAGUAGGGAAUCUUCCGCAAUGGGCGAAAGCCUGACGGAGCAACGCCGCGUGAGUGAUGAAGGGUUUCGGCUCGUAAAACUCUGUUAUUAGGGAAGAACAAAUGUGUAAGUAACUGUGCACAUCUUGACGGUACCUAAUCAGAAAGCCACGGCUAACUACGUG
rnacentral:rRNA from 1 species